rnacentral:rRNA from 1 species
AUACGGAGGGUGCAAGCGUUGUUCGGAUUCACUGGGUAUAAAGGGUGCGCAGGCGGUCUGAUAAGUCAGAGGUGAAAUAUGUCGGCUCAACCGGCAAACGGCCCCUGAAACUGUCAGACUUGAGUCCGGGAGAGGUAGGUGGAAUUCCAGGUGUAGCGGUGAAAUGCGUAAAUAUCUGGAGGAACACCGGUGGCGAAGGCGGCCUACUGGCCCGGAACUGACGCUCAGGCACGAAAGCGUGGGGAGCGAACGGGAUUAGAAACCCUAGUAGUCC